AUUUAAUCUAGGAAAAAGUUGAUUGCCUUGAGCAAAAUGGCAACAUUUUGACAGAAAACACAAGUGAAGAAGGUUUUUUAAUCUAGCCAAUCAUUUUUCAAAAA
ensembl:ncRNA F13D11.8 ncRNA